ACAAAAUCACUAAGAGAUAAAGGCUAAAAAUAACGUCCUGUGGGGUGAAUCAACUCAGUUUGGGACCCUCAAGACAGCAACAAGGCAAGGAUGUGCGUAGGGCUACAUCUGCGUCAUCCUUCACAGGUGGUCGUGACCAGAAUCAAAAUGCCUGGGCAAGAGAGGAAGAAGUUCUGCAAACAGGUAUCCUGGACAGUUUCCCUAAAGAGGUAAUACUUUUUCACCAAGGCAUACACAUCCUCUUGCCCAACCUCCCCUGGAGAACAGCUGGAUAAAGUCGUGAUGGGUGUAAACCAUGGCUGAACACCAAGCUGUGAGCUAAAAGAAAGAACAGAAUCUAGAACCCAAGAGUAGAACAGGGGUCACCAAAGCAAGACCAAGACAGGAGCAGACCCAUUAGCUGAGUUGAAUCCAACAGACGGUGAAGCUGGAAACCUGACUUGGAACAGACAGGAGCAGGCAUAUGGACAAGUGCAAGGUCUGAAGAGGCCAGCAGUAGACAGGAACAAAACAAAAAGCUGACCUGCCAGGGGUCCAGAACACAGUCAUGCAGAAUGGGCAAGGAGUCAAAUUCAAGCAACCCCAAGGCUACAGCUCCAGAUGUGCUGAUGUUUCUGGGAAGGCAGGACACAAUCUCAAACAUUAUCUGACUUGGGACUUUUAGGUACAGUUAAAUGGAAAGUCCUGCCCAGAGAAGAGAAUGGUGUUUGGGGGGAAGCUAAUUCAGAAACUUCCGAUAAUUUAUUUUUAUAUCCCCAAAAGGCCAUGGCACAAUUGGAAGUACACAGUAAACACUCCAUAAACAUUUGUCGAUUACCUAAUAGA